rnacentral:rRNA from 1 species
GACGAACGCUGGCGGCGCGCCUAACACAUGCAAGUCGAACGAGCGAGAGGAGGUUUCCUUUCUCAAGCGAGUGGCGAACGGGUGAGUAACGCGUGAGGAACCUGCCUCAAAGAGGGGGACAACAGUUGGAAACGACUGCUAAUACCGCAUAAGCCCACGACCCGGCAUCGGGUAGAGGGAAAAGGAGCAAUCCGCUUUGAGAUGGCCUCGCGUCCGAUUAGCUAGUUGGUGAGGUAAUGGCCCACCAAGGCGACGAUCGGUAGCCGGACUGAGAGGUUGAACGGCCACAUUGGGACUGAGACACGGCCCAGACUCCUACGGGAGGCAGCAGUGGGGAAUAUUGCACAAUGGGGGAAACCCUGAUGCAGCGACGCCGCGUGGAGGAAGAAGGUCUUCGGAUUGUAAACUCCUGUUGUUGAGGAAGAUAAUGACGGUACUCAACAAGGAAGUGACGGCUAACUACGU